AUAUUCAUAUGCAUUAUGGAUGUAUAUCUAUGUGCCAUAUAUAUAUCAUGUGAACAUAGAAUUUUCUUAUAAUUGGUAUUUCAGUAUGCUCCCUAGAAGUUUCAUCACUAUUAACAUAUCUGAAUUGGACAUUUCCUCUACUUGCUUUUCCCCUUGUCUUUCACAUGUAUAGAGACUGCAGCCAGUUCUCAAGAAAUCAAGCCCUGAAUGUAAAGAUUGUUGUUAACUAAUUAUUCCUUCAUUUUGUACAUACACCCUAUCAAAAUGAUGCCCUAUUUUAUCGAACAUAAUGUGUCAUAAAGCACAUUUCUUGGAGAAGAACGUGAUUGAUGUAGUACACACUAACACUACUACUUAGCUGUUAUUUUCCUUUCUUUGUCCAUGGCUGAGUUGUCAGUUAAAAUAAGUCAGAAUAAAUUUUUAACUCUUGAUGAAAGUGAUUUACUGUGUAGUGUUUACCAAAUUACCUUAAUCCAAUGAGACAGGAAACAGAAGUAUAAAAUACAAUAAGCAAAUAUAUUUCAAACUGACAACAGAGAAUAUUAGAACCCCAAAUUCAUUGGAAGCAGUCACUCAAAUCUUAGAAAUUAUCUGAUUGGUCAUAAUCUUACUCCAAAUGGCCCAUUUACACCAUAACCAAGGAAACCCUAAAAGUGACUGAUCAAGUACUAUCACUUUGCAGGCAGAAUAACAUACUGGGUUCCACAGAGGUCAGUCUAUUUUUUAAAAAGAGUGCAACAGAUCUUAGAUUGUCUCUACAAACCCCUCCAUCAGGAGAUAUCACAAUCCCAACAUAUCUCACAGUGUUUCCCAAACACAUACAUGAGAAAAGUAGAAGGGCCAGCUACUCCUGUGCCACCUGGAGAAAGGACCUAUUCUCACAUCUCUUCCUUAUAUUACAGCAGAGUUGGGAGUUUACUUAAUAUUGUACAUCAAACACAUGAGUCUUCACAGGAAAUUUCAUAUUUGGUCCAAAUAGGAAUCUUUAUGGACUGAAUGUAUCCAUUCAGUAUGCUUUGUGUAAAUAUUUUUCUGUCCUACAUGAGGGGCAUUAUAAAUAUUGUACUUAGGAAAAGGAAUAAUAAAGUGGAUAUGUGAAGACCUUUAGGUCUGUAGAAAAAAAAGAGAGAGAUUAUGACCUUGUAACAAAAUGUGAGUGAUGAGAUAGACAUGGAAAUUUUAGAAGAUAAAUACUGUGAAUAUGUUAUGAUUUUGAGGUCAUGUUCCGAUAAUUUCCACCAGAGAAAAUUUAUUAGAGCUCUAUAUUUUAAAUAUUUUUUCAUUGUCUAUUGAUACAUUAACUUGAAAGUAGAUAUUUUCCCUGAGUACUUCAACGUUAUUUUUGAUAUUUCCAACAAGAGCAGAAGACCUGGUAGUCACAUAGUAGUUGGAUUUACAGGUGUUGGUAUCAAAGGGCAAUUCAUUUUGCAAAUCUUUGUUUUUAAUGGGAAGAUGGCUGUCAAUUUUUGUCACUGUCAUGUUAAAAUGCAUGCCAGCACAUAGAGCGAUACCUCUAUAAUCAGUGGUGUAGAUUGGGGUUUGUGAGGUGGAAAAUAUAACACUGUGUUCUUGCAGGAUCAGAACUCAGCAUUUUUUGUCAGUAGGUUGUAAAGUGAGCUGAACUACAUUGGACUCAGCAAAUCAUUAACAUGUAAAACUAAUGAAAAGAUCGGGAGGCACUUAUGUGAAAGCCAUCUGUACACAGAGAAUUUUUGUAAACUAAGAAAAGGCUAGAACCUUAUUUUGAUUCAUAUUAUGCAAAGACAUAUACAUCAGCCUUGGUAUGCUGGAGCUAGAAUUAUCCACGUUCAUAAUCCCAAUUGUUUGCACAGAACCUGAUUUUAAUGAACAUUCCAAAAAUCACUAAAUACUGGAUAUCGCAUGUUACUACAUGAAUAGUUAAUUUCUGAUUGAAAUAUCUUGUGAGAGUCUCUCUGGGAAGAGGAACCCACAUAAGGAACUGAAAAUAUAGGUGAUUUUUUUUUCUUAACAGUAUCUUCCCAAUAUUCUGAUGUUGAAAAUAUAAUCGCAGUAUGACAGGAUUAAGAGGAAGAUCAUACCUAAAGAGUUUUUAAGGUACGAGGUGAACUUCUUAUGUAUUAUGAGAUUAUGAUUCUCAUGAAAAGACAUCAGAACACAGGUGUGCUGUCUUCCACUCUUUCACGAUGGCAGGACUCUAGUUCGUACACCCAGAAGUGUAUAGCUCCAAGCUCAAUCUUAGAAAAAGGGCUUUCUCUAAAAUCUUAUCACCAGUUGGAAAGCUUUCAACUUAACUCAAAGAAAUCCAACACAAUUUCCUGCACAAUAUUGCACACAGUGCAUAAUUUAUGAGCUCUGUGUUUUUUCUGCUUGGAAGAAAGAACACUUAAUAGUGCUCAGAUUCUGAGAGCAAGCAAUUUCCUUUCAAAAAUGUAUAGGUUUUGAAAUAAAAAAAAUUAAAAAUAGAAUUU
rnacentral:lncRNA from 1 species